CCUACGGGAGGCAGCAGUGGGGAAUAUUGCGCAAUGGGCGAAAGCCUGACGCAGCGACGCCGCGUGAGGGAUGAAGGUCUUCGGAUCGUAAACCUCUGUCAGCAGGGAAGAACGGUCACUGUGCUAAUCAGCAGUGAAUUGACGGUACCUGCAAAGGAAGCACCGGCUAACUCCGUGCCAGCAGCCGCGGUAAUACGGAGGGUGCGAGCGUUAAUCGGAAUUACUGGGCGUAAAGCGCUCGUAGGCGGUAUGUCAAGUCAAGGGUGAAAUCCCCGCGCUCCACGUGGGAACUGCCUUUGAAACUGGCAGACUGGAGUGUGUGAGAGGAUAGUGGAAUGCCAGGUGUAGGAGUGAAAUCCGUAGAUAUCUGGAGGAACAUCAGUGGCGAAGGCGACUAUCUGGCACAUAACUGACGCUGAGGAGCGAAAGCGUGGGUAGCAAACAGGAUUAGAUACCCUAGUAGUC
rnacentral:rRNA from 1 species